UACGGAGGAUGCAAGCGUUAUCCGGAAUGAUUGGGGCGUAAAGCGUCCGCAGGUGGCUAUGUAAGUCUGCUGUUAAAGAGCAAGGCUCAACCUUGUAAAGGCAGUGGAAACUACAUGGCUAGAGUGCGUUCGGGGCAGAGGGAAUUCCUGGUGUAGCGGUGAAAUGCGUAGAGAUCAGGAAGAACACCGGUGGCGAAAGCGCUCUGCUAGGCCGCAACUGACACUGAGGGACGAAAGCUAGGGGAGCGACUGGG
rnacentral:rRNA from 1 species